GGAGAGAUGGAUGAGUGGUUUAAGUCGCACGCCUGGAAAGCGUGUGUAGGAGCAAUCCUACCGCGGGUUCGAAUCCCGCUCUCUCCG
rnacentral:tRNA from 1 species